rnacentral:rRNA from 1 species
AUGGGGGAUCUCAUCGUUUACCUCACCGGAGGGAGUGAUAGGGGAUGGGGUGGACGAUUUUUGGCGCUGUGGUCGAGGAAGCUUCCUCCGUCUCCGGCGGCGCGUGGUGGCGCGUGGUGGCCACGGCGUAUUGACGGCGGGGAAAGCUGGGGGCCACGGCGGUGGCGGCGGGAUGUUGGGGCCGCGGUGUCUCCGACUGAGGCAUGGCGGGGCAGCGGCGGUGUCUCCGGUUGGAGCGGGGGCGGCCACCGCGUCUCCGGUUGGGGGCUUGGUGGCGGCGGCGCCGGCGCCGCUGGUUGGGGACGGGGCGGCGAGCGGGAGGUGCGGGAGGUGGUGGGAUAG